rnacentral:lncRNA from 1 species
CUGCCUGCUAGGUCAUAAGGAUGAAGGCCAUGUGGCUGGGGUACUUAUGUCAAGUCCAGAAUGGGGCAGUGUCCCUCUCCUACCUCUCUGCGGAGACGCAAUUGAAGGUCAAGUAGACUCAGUGUAGGGCAGGAUCUCUUAAGAUGGGAAAGAUACUGGGGAGAGGAGGGCUGCUUGGCCCCAGGGAACUGCAGUGAGGUGGAACUGAGCUCCGCUCCUGAAUCUCCAAAGGAGCCCAUGCUGCCCGGCUUCCCUGAGUCAUUUUUUCCAGCAUCCUGUCAGAUCCCUCAAUGUACUGAUUUCCCCCUUGUGUUAACUAUACCGAUAUUAUUUUUUUAGCAAUUGAAAUGCACUUUUUUAUUUCAACUCAAUCAUGAUUUUAAGUAUAAAAAAUUUAUAGAUUGUUAAAACUACUUUUUUGUGUAUUUUUAACCACUCAAUGUAGCAUUGUAUAUUUUAUUCUUGUGAGACUCUGGUACAGGUGUGCCGCCUAAUGAUUUUUCUGAGAUGCUGGGCCUUUGGAUGUGUACGGUAACCAACUUAAUGCUAAUGUUCAAAGUAAAAAAAAAAAAAAAAAGCAGCCAUA